GACGAACGCUGGCGGCGUGCUUAACACAUGCAAGUCGAACGGUGAAGCUCGGAGCUUGCUCUGGGUGGAUCAGUGGCGAACGGGUGAGUAACACGUGAGCAACCUGCCCCGGACUCUGGAAUAAGCGCUGGAAACGGUGUCUAAUACUGGAUACGAGACGGAACCGCAUGGUUACCGUUUGGAAAGUUUUUCGGUCUGGGAUGGGCUCGCGGCCUAUCAGCUUGUUGGGGGGGUAAUGGCUCACCAAGGCGACGACGGGUAGCCGGCCUGGGAGGGCGACCGGCCACACUGGGACUGGGACACGGCCCAGACUCCUACGGGAGGCAGCAGUGGGGAAUAUUGCACAAUGGGCGAAAGCCUGAUGCAGCGACGCCGCGUGAGGGAUGACGGCCUUCGGGUUGUAAACCUCUUUCAGCAGGGAAGAAGCUUUUGUGACGGUACCUGCAGAAGAAGCACCGGCUAACUACGUGCCAGCCGCCGCCGUAAGAC
rnacentral:rRNA from 1 species